rnacentral:rRNA from 1 species
GUUCCUACGGGACGCAGCAGUGGGGGAUAUUGGACAAUGGGGGAAACCCUGAUCCAGCGAUGCCGCGUGAGGGAAGAAGGUUUUCGGAUUGUAAACCUCUGUGGAGGGGGACGAUAAUGACGGUACCCCUUUAGGAAGCCACGGCUAACUACGUGCCAGCAGCCGCGGUAAUACGUAGGUGGCGAGCGUUGUCCGGAAUUACUGGGUGUAAAGGGAGUGUAGGCGGGGAAGGAAGUCAGCAGUGAAAACUAUGGGCUUAACCCAAAGCC